GAUGGACGCUGGCGGCGUGCCUAAUACAUGCAAGUCGAGCGAACAGACGAGGAGCUUGCUCCUCUGACGUUAGCGGCGGACGGGUGAGUAACACGUGGAUGACCUACCUAUAAGACUGGGAUAACUUCGGGAAACCGGAGCUAAUACCGGAUAAUAUAUUGAACCGCAUGGUUCAAUAGUGAAAGACGGUUUUGCUGUCACUUAUAGAUGGAUCCGCGCCGCAUUAGCUAGUUGGUAAGGUAACGGCUUACCAAGGCAACGAUGCGUAGCCGACCUGAGAGGGUGAUCGGCCACACUGGAACUGAGACACGGUCCAGACUCCUACGGGAGGCAGCAGUAGGGAAUCUUCCGCAAUGGGCGAAAGCCUGACGGAGCAACGCCGCGUGAGUGAUGAAGGUCUUCGGAUCGUAAAACUCUGUUAUUAGGGAAGAACAAAUGUGUAAGUAACUAUGCACGUCUUGACGGUACCUAAUCAGAAAGCCACGGCUAACUACGUG
rnacentral:rRNA from 1 species